AUUGGAGGAUGUGAUUCUAAAGAUACAUGGUAGUGAGUGUAUUUCUUCUGGUCACACUAGCUGUUCCUCAAUCUCAUGGAUUGCAAAAUGGCAGCUCAGAUGAAACAGCCAGAAUUGCAAAUAGUGAAAAUACAAUUCAGAAUGUCUUGAAGCAAUUUUUUGUCAAAAAGUCGAAAGGAAUCGAAAUGGAAAAGACUAUCGCAGAAACGACGUCUAUAAUCAAAACUUUGAAGACAGCUAC